UAAAUAUGCAUUCAUGAAUAACAGCACGCAACAAACGAACAAACAAACAAACAAUAAAUAGAUAGACUAGCACUUGUUUUUCUCUGUCUUUUGUUGAUCUGUUCUGUUCUUUUUUUUCAUUUCUUCGUUCGUA
rnacentral:ribozyme from 14 species